UACCUUUCUCACCUCUGCCCAGGUGCACAGUGGGGGUCACUGCAGCAAGAAAAGCCCAGAGGGAACCUGCCUGGACACCAAACACCCUUACACAUCCCACCCUGAUCCUUUCCCAAGGGAGAGAAGUAUUUGUUUUCCCUGUCGCCCUGAUUUAUGGACCACUUUGUUCUUUAUCUGUUUGCACACUCAGUAGAGUGACCUGUUUCUUCCCCCAGAGGGUGGGAUGCUGUCAGCACCUCAGGGUCACAGGUCAGGCGACCUGUCUAAGGAAGAAGAGGUUACAAGAGGUCACCUGGGAACCAGUUGCAGGUACCAAUCUUGCUUGGCUCCAAGUCGCUUCCUUGGGACUCAAGAGGGCAGAGCGCAAGAAUGGUGACCCUGUCUGGGAGGUACAGCAUCCAUACCUGUCACAGGUUCAUAGACAGUCAUAGACAACAAGAGCCCUGAACACUGUCGUCAGCAUCUCGUGUAACACUCACUGGAGCCUUUGAUGAAGCUGUUCUAGGUCUUUUGAGAAGAAGGCAACAGAAACUUUAAUACCAUAAUCCCCUCCCCCUGCCCCUCUCCUGAGGGUUGAGGAUCUCUUCCUUACAGCUGCUUCCUGCCCUCUGCUGAUCGAGGAAAGGAGUUAGGAAUUCCUGAAGAAGUCAGAUACCCAGCCUGUCUAAACCAGAGAUGUCUAUUUCAUGAACAACUCCAUGCCACCAAACUCUGCCAAGAUUGUGUGAAGUUGGUUCUUAUCUGCUCCAUGCAAAGCUGGGAUGCGCACAUGGACUUGGUUUGGUUGCUGUUUGUGUGCAUUCUGGUUCUCUCCAGGAUAAUGGCUGUGCUCUGGCCAAGAGCUUCAGAUGAUCCGAGUGCUGAUAAAAUCCAGUGCAAUGCGAACUGCCCCACUGGCCAAGUAGACUUCUGA